ACCCAAUAGAUGACUGUUAGGAAUGUAACCCAAAUUGGCCAAACAACAGGCAGAGCUUAGCAGAUUGUGCAAUUGGGUUUGGCCAAUAUGCUCUUGGAGGCAAAGGUGGUGAGUAUUAUAUUGUCAGAGACUCUUCUAAUGAUGAUGCUGUGAAUCCAAGGCCAGGCACUCUGAGUUAUGCUGUGAUACAGACUGAGCCUCUCUGGAUUGUGUUCCCUGGCAACAUGCUCAUCAAGCUCUCCCAAGAGCUCAUCUUCAACAGCUACAAGACCCUUGAUGGCCGUGGAGCCAAUGUCCACAUUGUGGGUGGUGGCUGCAUCACAUUGCAGUUCAUAAGCAAUGUCAUCAUCCACAAUGUGCAUAUCCACAACUGUUAUCCGUCAGGUGGGUUUUUCUGGUAAUGCAUCUUCAGCCCCUGAAUCAAGAAAUUGUAAAUUCUCCAGUAAUGUGAUGAUUCAUGCAGUUGACAAAUUCGGGAGCUUCUUAAGGCAAUUUCCUCUUUUUCCAAAUGCUUUUCUCGUUGGUGGUUGGUGCAGAAGACUUCUUUAUUAUUCAACUUGCAGGUCAGCUUCAAAAACUGAAGGUGGAACCAGCACAUAAAACUUCUCCAGGGCCUGAGUCAUUGGGUAUUAUUGUUGGAAUUAUUUUCUUGGUCUUGGGAAUCUUAUUCUAGUUUUUCAACUUCACUGCAGAUUCAAAUAGUUAAAACCUCCGCCGAGGACAAGAAAGAACACAAGCCACCUCUACAGCUGAGCUAACAAGAGAAAGAAUCCCUUCUAACAGAGAUCAAGGCAGAAAAAUCCUCUUCCACGACCCAAUAGCAUAUAUAUAAAGACCUAUUCAAACUCUUUUGAACAAUGAGCAACUCAAUAUUGUCGAUAUUUUGAUGUUUUGACUGCCACUUGAUUUAUUAAAAUAUAGUCAGUAUUUUAAUCAUGACAAACAGCAUAAAAAAACAUGUUAUUAUCCUAUUUUUUUGUAACUUAGACUUGCUAAACAAAGCAUGAUGCCACUAUUUAGAUAUC